AUAACAUAUGCUUCAUCCCAUAUAACACUGGGUACCAUUGGAUCUUGACUAUAAUUAAUGAAGAUAAGAAUAUGAUAUAUUUAUUGGACUCUUUGAGUAAUAGGAACCGAGAUCAUGCUUGGCAAACUAUUGUGACCAAUGGGGUCAAGAUAUACAAUGCAUCCAGGGGUAUUUUAAAAGGACCAGGUUUUAAACAAUUGCCAGUAUGUAUUGUGACUAUG